UGCGCCUCUGUGUUCUGGCAACUGGGAGUGGUUCUAUGACUUCAGGGACCACCGCCGAAGCUCCGGGCUGAGCCUCUGCCGCCAAGAACGUCUCUGCUGCCACCGGGUCCCGCCGAUGAAAUUCGGGCUGCCGCCGUUAUUCAGAAUUUAUUAACGGGGCCGCUGCCGAGUCGUUUUAGAGUUGCGGCUGUUUCGUUUCGCUGAUCUAAGUUGGUGAGAUUGUUGAGAACGCAAGUGGAGACGAGUUGCUGGCUGCAGUUGGUUUUGGGUUGAGGCGAAGAGGACUCUGUGAGACUUUUGGACUAUGGAAUUAUGUUUUGAGGUAGGGGCGCUUUCUGAAAACUAUAGUUUAUUAUUGGAAUUAUUACAUAUGGGUACUGA